GAACACUGGUCUCUCCUCAGUGUCUCUGUGACUGCAGACUGGGAGCCCUGGGUGGCCUCACAGGUCACAGAGCCCACCUUCCUCCACUGGUCUGCAGGGAGCCUCAGGGUGCUGCUCCAGCUGUAGAGGCCGUCCUUCUGCAGCACUCCUCGGCUCUUGUUCUCCUCCCAGCUGCUGCUGCUGCUGCCGUCCACCUUCCAGGACAGACUCCAGUCUGAGGGGAAGCCCUUGUUGGCCAGACACAUGAGGGUGGCCUUCCCCUGCUGCAGCUCCUCACUGGAGGGGGGCAGCACUGUCAGGGUGGGACGAGCAUCACCUAGGAGACACCAAUCAGCUGUUAAGAGCUCAGUGUUGAUCAGAGGCUGUCCAGGCCUUUCAGAGCCACUGAACCACCAGCAGCACAAUGAUGAUGUUACUGACUCUACUGCUGACCAUCCUGGAGCUCCUGGUUCAGGGUUCAUCAGGCGACAUCAAUCUGACUCAGACUCCAGUAUCUCAGUCUGUUGUUUUAGGACAGACUGUCUCCAUCAGCUGUAAAACCAGCUCCAGUGUUGGCACGUGCCUCAAAUGGUACCUCCAGAAGGAUGGAGACUCUCCUAAACUUUUAAUUUAUUACGCUUCAUCUCGUCAGUCUGGGAUUCCAGGACGUUUUAGUGGAAGUGGAUCUGGAACUGCUUUCACUUUAACAAUCAGUGGAGUUCAGGCUGAAGAUGGAGGAGUUUAUUACUGUCAGCAGUGUAACAGCUGGCCGCUCACACAGUGAAACA